rnacentral:misc_RNA from 1 species
GAUGAAGAACGCAGCGAAAUGCGAUACGUAAUGUGAAUUGCAAAUUCAGUGAAUCAUCGAGUCUUUGAACGCACAUUGCGCCCCCUGGUAUUCCGGGGGGCAUGCCUGUCCGAGCGUCAUUGCUGCCCUCAAGCACGGCUUGUGUGUUGGGCCCCGUCCUCCGAUCCCGGGGGACGGGCCCGGAAGGCAGCGGCGGCACCGCGUCCGGUCCUCGAGCGUAUGGGGCUUUGUCACCCGCUCUGUAGGCCCGGCCGGCGCUUGCCGAUCAACCCAAAUUUUUUAUCCAGGUUGACCUCGGAUCAGGUAGGGAUACCCGCUGAACUUAAGCAUAUCAAUAAGCGGAGGA